GUACACAGAGAGGACAGGAUCAACAUUGCAGCAAAUGACAUGAACAACCCGAGUCCUGAGCCUAGGAUCUCUCAGCAGGCUUUGCCCUUUGUGAGUCAGUGACGGAGGUCCUGUCCUGUUGCUGCAGCUGAAGCUGGAAAACAAGGAGCGGUUGGCCUUUGUUUCCGGCGUGAUACGAGUGCCCCCUGCUGUCCAGAAUUGAGAACAGCUCCGCAGCCCUGCAGGCUCAGACCAGCAAGAGAAGAAAAAAAACUACAGCAGGUCUCCUAUCUCUGGGCAAACGCUGGAAGGAUUGUUAAAAUGAAUAAUUUAUUAA